rnacentral:rRNA from 1 species
GACGAACGCUGGCGGCGUGCUUAACACAUGCAAGUCGUACGGUAAGGCCCUUUCGGGGGUACACGAGUGGCGAACGGGUGAGUAACACGUGAGUAACCUGCCCACAACUUUGGGAUAACGCUAGGAAACUGGUGCUAAUACUGGAUAUGUGCUCCUGCUGCAUGGUGGGGGUUGGAAAGCUCCGGCGGUUGUGGAUGGACUCGCGGCCUAUCAGCUUGUUGGUGGGGUAGUGGCCUACCAAGGCGGCGACGGGUAGCCGGCCUGGGAGGGUGACCGGCCACAUUGGGACUGAGAUACGGCCCAGACUCCUACGGGAGGCAGCGGUGGGGAAUAUUGCACAAUGGGCGCAAGCCUGAUGCAGCAACGCCGCGUGCGGGAUGACGGCCUUCGGGUUGUAAACCGCUUUCAGCAGGGACGAAGCUUUUUGUGACGGUACCUGCAGAAGAAGCACCGGCUAACUACGUG